rnacentral:rRNA from 1 species
UACGUAGGGGGCUAGCGUUGUCCGGAAUCAUUGGGCGUAAAGAGCGCGUAGGCGGCCCGGUAAGUCCGCUGUGAAAGUCCAGGGCUCAACCCUGGGAUGCCGGUGGAUACUGUCGGGCUCGAGUCCGGAAGAGGCGAGUGGAAUUCCUGGUGUAGCGGUGAAAUGCGCAGAUAUCAGGAGGAACACCAAUGGCGAAGGCAGCUCGCUGGGACGUGACUGACGCUGAGACGCGAAAGCGUGGGGAGCAAACAGG